AACUUGAGAGUUUGAUCCUGGCUCAGAACGAACGCUGGCGGCAGGCUUAACACAUGCAAGUCGAACGAUCUUCGGAUAGUGGCAGACGGGUGAGUAACGCGUGGGAACCUUCCCUAUGGUACGGAAUAGCUCCGGGAAACUGGAAUUAAUACCGUAUAAGCCCUGAGGGGGAAAGAUUUAUUGCCAUAGGAUGGGCCCGCGUUGGAUUAGCUUGUUGGUGUGGUAACGGCUCACCAAGGCUCCGAUCCAUAGCUGGUCUUAGAGGAUGAUCAGCCACACUGGGACUGAGACACGGCCCAGACUCCUACGGGAGGCAGCAGUGGGGAAUAUUGGACAAUGGGCGCAAGCCUGAUCCAGCCAUGCCGCGUGAGUGAAGAAGGCCUUAGGGUUGUAAAGCUCUUUCACCUGCGAAGAUGAUGACGGUAGCAGGAGAAGAAGCCCCGGCUAACUCCGUGCCAGCAGCCGCGGUAAUACGGAGGGGGCUAGCGUUGUUCGGAAUUACUGGGCGUAAAGGGCGCGUAGGCGGGAUGGCAAGUCAGGGGUGAAAGUCCUGGGCUCAACCUGGGGACUGCCCUUGAAACUGUUAUUCUUGAGACCGGGAGAGGAUGGCGGAAUUCCCAGUGUAGAGGUGAAAUUCGUAGAUAUUGGGAAGAACACCAGUGGCGAAGGCGGCCAUCUGGAUCGGCACUGACGCUGAGGCGCGAAAGCGUG
rnacentral:rRNA from 1 species